GCAAACUUCCCUGCCAAUUGAUAAUGGAUUACUGAAAGUGUUUAUAGGAUUACAAACAACAAAAAAAAUCUACCUCUACAGAACCUUUAGUGAUGAAUUCCUAUAUGUUUAACCUACUAUGUGAUAUGUCAGUGAAAGACAUCUCCUUGAAUGACGCUUGAUUAUGAAAAGUGACUUAAUAUAAACAUCUUUAUAGGUAGAAAUUGUUUCCAUAUUGUUGUGACACUUGGAAUAACAACCUCAGCUAGUCAGUGGCAAAGAUAAUCAGUUUCAGUGGAAGUAACGUAGCAAGCUGCAGUGCCCCAAAGGUCUACUGGUGGUGUACUGGACUGAUUCCUUGAGCUUUGGGUAAAUAUAUUACACUGUAGAAACUUGUUAAAUAGUUUACCCCAGACUUGCUAGAUCCAUGAAGGCCAUUCAAUUGUUCUAUAUGGGUUAUUUGGGCGUUUUGUUCACCGUAACUAAAAAGUAAUUAGUUGUAAGUGAUUUAUCACUCUAUGCUUACAGUACAUUGUCAUGUAACAUAUUACAUUAAAAUCAAGGUAGCUAGUAUUAUGAAAUAUAUUGCAUUUCAAAAAUAAUGUUAAUGUUGAAGAUGUUUUUAUUUGAGGGGGUCUUUUGUAUUUCUGAUGGUAUAUCGGAGUAUCUAGGUUGUACACAGUAAAAGAGUUUGUCUACAAAAAGACGUUGUGUUUUAUUUUGCAAUAAAAUUCACAUGGGGUCAGAAUUCGGUGUAACACCGGAACCAACGUUUUUGUUCCCUGUGUGCAGCCGUUUUUUUUACGACUUCCUGAUGUCUUCGUGGACGAAGACAUUACCACUAGUUGCGGCUGCAGUCGAGCUCCCUACAAAAUGGACUAUCGUCGGAUAAAAGGACUUUCACAGAUCUUUGAUUAGAGAUGGAGUCCCCAAGAUAUGAUAUGAUGAAGUCUGACAUGUCCCAGAAGACCCUGGUUCGAGUAAAGCUCGGGGCUGACUGGAUGAUGAUCAAGAGCUUCUUAAACAGAGAUGGAUGAAAUAGUAUGAGCAAGGAAUAUCAUCUCAAUUUCCUGUUCUCUAUGGGGAAAUGCUGAUAGCAGGCCAUAUGUUUAUAUGUCUUUCAACAUAAACCAAAACACGUUAUCAACAUGCAGAGAUCCUCGGGGCCCGUGAAGGAGGAGGAUGAGAACAGUGGCAUCCUACACGUGUUCACACAAGUCAAUGAUGUCUUCCAGAUCAGGAAAAAAAAAUCUCUGUGAGCCAUCUCAAGAGAAGCUCAAAAUUGAAAAAAGGUAAACAUGCUACUAUUUAAAUUUUUGGAGGGCAACAAGGCCUCUACCUCUCUGGGUGGCUCACCUGUGACUUCAAUGCCAGUGGUUCUGAAGAACACUGUCCUUCUGUCCACAUUUAUCUGGUACAGGGAUCCAUACCCCCUGAGGCUGUGAAAUAAUGUAACGUUAGCAAUAGAAGUCUAUUGUGAAAGCCAACUGAGAAAAACUUGUAGUUUAGCCUGCUAACAUAGGCUGCUGCUUAUGCUAAAUUUUGACCAACAUUUUGUUGUCACCUAGUUCACUUAAAGUAGAGGUAUAUUACUGACACAGUUUUUCUAAGAAUGAAGGGGUGUUGGCUGAAUUGGCCCAUUUCACCAAAGAAAGCCCAGUGUUUAUAAAUCAAGAUAAAGCUAGCCAUUGUUAGCUAAAUUACAUACCAGUCGAUUUAAAUAAUUAAGUCUGAAAAUGAAGAAGACGAAGGCAUCACAGCAAAGUCCCUGACCUUAAGGUAGAGACUCUAAUCUUUUCCAGAUCAAGGUGCCAGUCUGAAUUGCUUAAAAAUCAAAAAUACAUGUUGGACCAAAUUAUGCUUGUGUGCCGAACAGCAGAUAUGAUCAUCAUUCUGGAGCACCAGAAAGUCGUCCAGACCCAGAUUCACCUUGCCUCACCUGUUACUCCUCGGGGGAGUGCAAAGCUCUGCAGGGCCUCAUGACGGUGGAGGUGGAGGCAAGUUUUUUUUUUCAUGGAUUCUAGUAUUAAGAUGGUUAAGUGACAGUGAGGUUCAAUAGCACUGUGGCCUUUGCGCUUUAUUUACUCCUGUAACAGACUGGUGUGUUGAUACUAAUAGCCAAGGGGUAUGUGUUGACAUGUGUUUGCAUUUUGUAAACAAUUUACACCUGUUGUCUGUGGACCAAACAUAUAAAAAGUAAAGAUAUUAAGGUAUAAAAAAAAAAUGAUAGGCAAAAAUAACCCAAUAACCCUAAUUUCAUGUAGUGUAUUUUAUUCCUCUCCAUGUUGUGGGAUCCUAAGUUAAUAUUGUUCACUUCCAUUAAAUUCCUUUCACGUUACUUUAAGAUCCUGUCAUUUUAACGUCAAAUUGUUCAUUGGUUGGUAUGAAAUGGAAAGUGUAUUUAAUUCAUUUGAAUAAUCAACCCAUCACACAAUCAUAGAAAAUGCCCUGAAAUACACUUCAAGGCUAAAAUUAAUUACCUGGACUUCAUAGGAAACCUUUGUCUCAAGAUGUAUUUCUUUUUUUCUCUCUUUUGUUUAUACUUUAUUUCUUUAUGAGUCAACAUUGACUGAGGUGCCUUCACAAAAAUCUUUGCUCUCUUACAUGCAUUUUACAGUGGUAUUCAUACCAUAUUUCCAUAAAAUCCUGUAAGGUUCCUUCUGGUUGAUCAAAGUGGGAUGUGUGAUUGUGGGAUUCUAACUUAAUACUGUUCAGUACCAUUUAAUUCCCUUCAGGUCACUUGAGUUAUGUUCAUAUCAUUUUAAUGUCAUCAAAGUGAAUUCAAUUCAGUUCAUCAACUUUUUAAUCCUACUAAGAUACUCAUAGGCUAUUCGAUCACGUAUUCACAAUGUAUUAUUAUGUUUAUAAAUUAGUUUCAACAUCUGAACAAGUAUCCACUUUUGAUUCAUGAUUUAUUAUCAAAUAGUCUGUGUAGUAAUUAUUGUGCAAUGAACUCGUAAUGCUCACAUGAAUAGAUUUGAAAUUGUUUUGUAAAUGUUUUUGAAAUAUGUUUUGAUUUCUAUUUGUGUAUCUCAUCAGGCUUGUUUGUAUAUUAUGCUGUGGAUUUGACUUCUACUGCUUUAUUACUGCAAAUACGUCAAUUAAAUUUUGAAAUGGUCUAAUUACUGUGUGAAUUACAAAUGCUGACAAAAUGAUAAUCAGAUUUAAGACAAUUAAAAUGUAUUUGUAAUGAAG